UACGAAGGGGGCUAGCGUUGUUCGGAAUCACUGGGCGUAAAGCGCACGUAGGCGGAUGUGUCAGUCAGGGGUGAAAUCCCGGAGCUCAACUUCGGAACUGCCUCUGAUACAGCACGUCUUGAGUCCGGAAGAGGUGGGUGGAAUUCCUAGUGUAGAGGUGAAAUUCGUAGAUAUUAGGAAGAACACCGGUGGCGAAGGCGGCCCACUGGUCCGGUACUGACGCUGAGGUGCGAAAGCGUGGGGAGCAAACAGG
rnacentral:rRNA from 1 species